CGCGCAUGGUGGAUUCACAAUCCACUGCCUUGAUCCACUUGGCUACAUCCGC
rnacentral:tRNA from 7 species